CUCUUAUAGAUUUUAUAGAAUUUGGUUUUUAGGUGAAGAAACCUAAAUAUAAUUAAAAGACAAGAAGACCCUAUCGAGCUUAAAACAAUUUUUUUGAUAUAAUGAUAACACCUUACUCAAAAAAAGAUUUUAGUUGGGGCGACUAAGGAACAGGAAAAGCUUCCUAUAAGCUAUAGCUACUAAUAAGUAUUGAUCCAAAAAAAUUUGAUUAACAGAAUUAGUUACCGUAGGGAUAACAGCAUAAUCUUUUCUAAGAGUCCUUAUCGAAGAAAAGGUUUGUGACCUCGAUGUUGGACUAGGGUACCCAGAUAGGUGUAGAAGCCUUCAAUGGUUGGUCUGUUCGACCA
rnacentral:rRNA from 1 species